rnacentral:rRNA from 1 species
UUGCAGAGAAGCUUGCUUCUCUUGAGAGCGGCGGACGGGUGAGUAAAGCCUAGGAAUCUGCCUGGUAGUGGGGGAUAACGUUCGGAAACGGACGCUAAUACCGCAUACGUCCUACGGGAGAAAGCAGGGGACCUUCGGGCCUUGCGCUAUCAGAUGAGCCUAGGUCGGAUUAGCUAGUUGGUGAGGUAAUGGCUCACCAAGGCGACGAUCCGUAACUGGUCUGAGAGGAUGAUCAGUCACACUGGAACUGAGACACGGUCCAGACUCCUACGGGAGGCAGCAGUGGGGAAUAUUGGACAAUGGGCGAAAGCCUGAUCCAGCCAUGCCGCGUGUGUGAAGAAGGUCUUCGGAUUGUAAAGCACUUUAAGUUGGGAGGAAGGGCAUUAACCUAAUACGUUAGUGUUUUGACGUUACCGACAGAAUAAGCA